rnacentral:tRNA from 1 species
GUGCACAUAGUUUAAAAAAAAUUCUAGCCUGUGAUUCUAGAAAUGAGAGCUAACUCCCCUCUGUUCACC